GAAACAGGGACAGGCCAGCGGCCCCUCAGGACUGGAGUUAGAGAGAGCUGGUCAAAGAGAGGAGCUCUGAACCAAAGGAAACGUUUUCCUGCUGCAGACUGAGCCGCUCUGCGUACAGCCUGCUUCUUCCUGGAGCUCCGUUUUCAUCAAACAGAACAACCAAUGCUUUUAAUUUGGAAAGGUGUACAAAUGCAGAAAUACCAGAGACUUCAUUCUGAGACGGAAACCUCAAACUGUAGAAAAGUGAGAGGAAAGUCAGCAUGUGAUGCUGCUGAUUCCGUCCCUUCAUCCAGCUUCAUCCACAGAGCGAGUCUUCUUCUGUUAUCCUAGUGUUCUAAAAGGUUUUCUGUGUGUGUGUUUUACAACAAGUGUGUGCGUGUUUUAUCCGGGAAGAUAAAAUAUGCCUUUUUGAGUGUGUGUCGGUGAGGAUUCAUUAAAGGCAAUGUGGGUCCUGAGAGACGAGCUCUGCUGAAACGCCUGCAGGCUUAAAUCCACAGAGUUUUCACUUUUUUGUUUAUUUCUUCUCUUUUUUUUCCCCAGCUUUUCUCUCUUACAUCCUGUCUGUCAUAUUUUUACUACAUUUACUCUAUUGUUGAAAUUGAGCUAGGCUUUACCAAAAAAUAUAAAUAAAUCAAAGAACCUUUUAGCAUCUCUAAUUCUUGUUCUGGUCUCCUUUUGUUUUUUCUUCUCAUCACUUUACAUAUCAUUAACAAUUUUUACAUUUUAUUGACUUUAAUAACGACACUAAAAUUAGCAGAAUCUGCUCAGUCAACUGAUAACCUUUAGUUUCCAUGUUGUUGCUCAUUCUUUCUAAUUUGCAUUACCAUUAACUAAGAAAAUUCCUCAUCCCCAGUCUGACUCAUUUCUACUGUUUAGAAAAAGCUGUUGCAUAAUCUCUUUUACUUCCUGGAAGUGUAACAAUCAAUUUUUUUCUAUCUGCAUAUCUUCCCUUUUUCACCCCAACAAAACUGUUCAUUUUCUCAUCUGUCCUUGAGAAGAAAGGGAUUUUACCCUCUUUUCAUUUUCUGCCUGUGAAUCUAAAGUUCUCUGCCUUUCUUUCACCCGCUCCCUUUGCUCUGCU